AUACGGAGGGUGCAAGCGUUAAUCGGAAUUACUGGGCGUAAAGCGUACGUAGGCGGUUCGUUAAGUUAGAUGUGAAAGCCCCGGGCUUAACCUGGGAACUGCAUUUAAAACUGGCGGACUAGAGUUGAGUAGAGGGGAGUGGAAUUUCAGGUGUAGCGGUGAAAUGCGUAGAGAUCUGAAGGAACACCAGUGGCGAAGGCGACUCCCUGGACUCGAACUGACGCUGAGGUACGAAAGCGUGGGUAGCAAACGGGAUUAGAUACCCGAGUAGUCC
rnacentral:rRNA from 1 species